rnacentral:rRNA from 1 species
UACGGAGGGUGCGAGCGUUGUCCGGAAUCACUGGGCGUAAAGGGCGCGUAGGCGGUCCGGUAAGCGCGUGGUGAAAGCCCGGGGCUCAACCCCGGGUCGGCCGUGCGGACUGCGGGACUCGAGCACUGUAGAGGCGGGCGGAAUUCCGGGUGUAGCGGUGGAAUGCGUAGAGAUCCGGAAGAACACCGGUGGCGAAGGCGGCCCGCUGGGCAGGAAAUAGCUGACGCUGAGGCGCGACAGCGUGGGGAGCAAACAGG